UACAGAGGGGGCAAGCGUUGUUCGGAAUUACUGGGCGUAAAGGGCGCGUAGGCGGCCUGUUAAGUCGAACGUGAAAUCCCCGGGCUCAACCCGGGAACUGCGUCCGAUACUGGCAGGCUUGAAUCCGGGAGAGGGAUGCGGAAUUCCAGGGUGUAGCGGUGAAAUGCGUAGAUAUCUGGAGGAACACCGGUGGCGAAGGCGGCAUCCUGGACCGGCAUUGACGCUGAGGCGCGAAAGCCAGGGGGAGCAAAACGGGG
rnacentral:rRNA from 1 species